UGGGGUGGUGCGUGAGGCGGAGUGAUGCAGGGCGCGCUGGUGCCUGUGAAGGACUUUUGGCACAGAAAUUUCGUAUCGUCAGCAUUGAGAGCGCCAUGUUCGACCAGGAUUCCAGGGUGAUCCAGAGCGCCUUCCUGCACGCCAUCCAGCACUACAGUCAAAACACCGCGGGCAGGAGGCUUCAGCUUCACGCCUUUGUGGGCAUCAUCAGUAUGGCGGAUGCCUUCAAGAUCUCCAGACUGAGAUACGUUCCCAGCCUGUGCACAAACGUCCUCGCUAGAUAAAGUAAGAAGAACUGCUAGAAGUGUUAAUCAACUCCCGCGAUGAGGCCAUAACAUGAGCCCUGAUACAACAAGUGUUAAUGAAUUCCCGUGAUGAGGCCAUGGUAUCAGCUCUGAUAUAAUGCUUAUACCUGUGUCACCAGCCACAUUCAAAACGUGCUGGCAAAGGCUUUUCACUACAUUUCCCACAGUGUAACUACACUCCUGUUUUUCUUGUUUUUGCCCUAAGUAAUUCAUUUCAUAUCCCCUUUGUGUAUUCAUGGAAUGUUAUAGUGCAGGAUCAUCUGUUACCAGCACGAAAAGAAAAAAAAAAACAGCGGUACGAUAUUUGUCGUUUGUC